UACAGAGGGUGCGAGCGUUAAUCGGAUUUACUGGGCGUGAAGCGUGCGUAGGCGGCUUUUUAAGUCGGAUGUGAAAUCCCUGAGCUUAACUUAGGAAUUGCAUUCGAUACUGGGAAGCUAGAGUAUGGGAGAGGAUGGUAGAAUUCCAGGUGUAGCGGUGAAAUGCGUAGAGAUCUGGAGGAAUACCGAUGGCGAAGGCAGCCAUCUGGCCUAAUACUGACGCUGAGGUACGAAAGCAUGGGGGAGCAAACAGGAUUAGAUACCCUGGUAGCCCAUGCCGUAAACGAUGUCUACUAGCCGUUGGGGCCUUUGAGGCUUUAGUGGCGCAGCUAACGCGAUAAGUAGACCGCCUGGGGAGUACGGUCGCAAGACUAAAACUCA
rnacentral:rRNA from 1 species